AUUGAACGCUGGCGGCAUGCUUUACACAUGCAAGUCGAACGGUAACAGGUUAAGCUGACGAGUGGCGAACGGGUGAGUAAUGCAUCGGAACGUGCCCGAUCGUGGGGGAUAACGCAGCGAAAGCUGCGCUAAUACCGCAUACGAUCUGAGGAUGAAAGCGGGGGACCGUAAGGCCUCGCGCGAUCGGAGCGGCCGAUGUCAGAUUAGGUAGUUGGUGGGGUAAAGGCUCACCAAGCCAACGAUCUGUAGCUGGUCUGAGAGGAUGACCAGCCACACUGGGACUGAGACAGGGCCCAGACUCCUACGGGAGGCAGCAGUGGGGAAUUGUGGAAAAGGGGCGAAGGCCUGAUCCAGCAAUGCCGCGUGCAGGAAGAAGGCCUUCGGGUUGUAAACUGCUUUUGUACGGAGCGAAAAGGCUCUCUCUAAUACAGGGGGCUCAUGACGGUACCGUAAGAAUAAGCACCGGCUAACUACGUGCCAGCAGCCGCCGCUG
rnacentral:rRNA from 1 species